CACGUAGGGCGCGAGCGUUGUCCGGAAUUAUUGGGCGUAAAGAGCUCGUAGGCGGCCUGUUGCGUCCGCUGUGAAAGCCCGGGGCUUAACCCCGGGUCGGCAGUGGAUACGGGCAGGCUAGAGGUAGGUAGGGGAGAAUGGAAUUCCCGGUGUAGCGGUGAAAUGCGCAGAUAUCGGGAGGAACACCGGUGGCGAAGGCAGCUCGCUGGGACGGUACUGACGCUGAGGCGCGAAAGCGUGGGGAGCAAACAGG
rnacentral:rRNA from 1 species